AUGUUAUUUUUCAAUCUUGGCUUGCACUUCAUAAAUCCCUGUCUGCAGCUUCUGCUUUGUCUCCAUAUUCAUAUCCGAGUGCUGUCAUAUUUGCUGGUUUUCUUAAGAAUUGUGCUGCUGGUGUUCAGACAAUUCACUGCUGCCAUGAUGGUGGCAUCGCUGCAGGGCGGUUGUGCUGUGUUUGCAGUGACAGAGCCUGAUGUUCAAAGCUUGGCUUCAUCCAGUUGCUUUAAUGGGAUAGCAAGUGAAUGCCUGCCUGCAAGCUACAGCAGCCGCGAUGCCAAGUCUGCUAAGGAAGCCUGCAUUUCAGAGUGGGUGAGUGGGCAGUGUACAAAGGACUUCCUGAGGAAGAGCCAAGUCAAAGAGGUUGGGAACCCUGAGGACAUAACUUUCAAUGGACUGACCUGAUGGAAAAAUUAACAUGAAAUAUUGGGCUGUACCCCUGUACCCAAAAUGGCUGUACCCCUGAUUUGCCGAGGCUUGGAACAACAAUCAAAUGAUCGAUCCAUUUCACUACACAUCCAUAGCCUCUUUCAGGCCACAUAUCCCUGAAGUCUCUGUAUAUAAUGCUAUGGUUGCAGCUGAAUUUUGUGAUGACAGGUAAACCAAAUUAGAUUUAGUCUUAAUUUUAAAAAAUUGAAAAUCCAUCAGCAUCUCUGUCUUGCAAAG
rnacentral:lncRNA from 1 species